rnacentral:sRNA from 1 species
GUUGAUUUCUACCGAAGACUCAGGUGAUGAAAGUCUUAAUAUCCUGCCGAGGCCAGAAGAUUAUUUCACUUAAUCUCUGUGUCCUUAGGGCACAGGGAUUUUAUAUUUU